rnacentral:rRNA from 1 species
UACGUAGGGUCCGAGCGUUGUCCGGAAUUAUUGGGCGUAAAGGGCUCGUAGGCGGUUUGUCGCGUCGGGAGUGAAAACUCAGGGCUCAACCCUGAGCGUGCUUCCGAUACGGGCAGACUAGAGGUAUGCAGGGGAGAACGGAAUUCCUGGUGUAGCGGUGGAAUGCGCAGAUAUCAGGAGGAACACCGGUGGCGAAGGCGGUUCUCUGGGCAUUACCUGACGCUGAGGAGCGAAAGCGUGGGUAGCGAACAGG